CACCCCGCUCCUAAAG
rnacentral:tRNA from 1 species